CAACAAUUGAAAGGUUUUACCUCGCCUCAACUCUUCACCUGACUGCUGCUGUUCGAACGAAAGUAAAAAUUACAAAGGAACUGUCAAAUAUGCUUUGAUCGCUUCUCUUUCCUACAGUCAUCCAUGACUCUUCAUAAAGUUGCAGGCUGCAGUUAACCCUCCAGUCUGCUCUAAACUCUCCUAAGUCCUAUAGAGACAUCUAAUACUUCUUAUGAAGGUAGCAGAUGAGAUGGACUAGGAUGACAAUGAAGGUGAUGACAGCAACCAUGCCUACAAUUCACUUCAUACAAGGAAAUAACAUGCUACUGCCCAGGGUAGCACACUGUGCCGGCAAAACUUCAAGGCAAUCUUAAGGAAACCCGGUCAGCGAUGCAGAAUUCGACCUUAUGAAGUACGGAUGGUUUAAGGACCAAUCCUGGAAGAUGGGACAUCUACCAGAGGACUGUCACAUUGUGAAUGCCGUCAACAGCUUUGUUUGCGUCUUUGCUAACAUUGUGUUCACAGAGCGGCACAGUGAAUCCAGUCCACAUAAUGUGGUAUUUACAUUUUGUACCAGAUGUCCAUCAGAAUCCAAACACAGUUGCCUUGCGCAGAUCAGAUCUGGGUCAAUCCUUCAGUGAGAUAAAGAUUACUUUAUUUAUUCUAUCUCUUUAUAUAUACUUUACCUAAAUUGUAUAUAUAUAUAUUGAAAUACAUACAGAUUUUCAAGUGAAAUCUGUAUGUAUUUGACCCGGAUCUGGAGAUGAUUGUUAACAUUAGUUAUCAUAAUCAUUGCAUUGUUGUUGUAUUCCCAGGUUCAAGAUAUUGGUCACCUACUGCUCAAAAGUGUGGGUGAUAAGACUUUAAGAAUUUAUCAUUCUUUAAAGCUAUCUGCCCUCCUAACUAAAAUAGAUUCUGCUAUGCUUGGUUUAGUGGCUUUGGGGGACAAUUUAAGUUAAAUUGGUGGGUUUAAAAUGCUUAUGUACAUCAUGGAUUACAUUUUAUAUUGCAGUAGAAUUAGCUCAACAAUUAGGGCUAAUCUCAUCUCAACUUUUUAAGCUUAAAUGAAGCCACAGCAAAAUAGUCCCCUUUCAUGUAAUUUGUUCCAAAAAGUAAAUUUAAAUCCAAACACAAUCUCAAAUUCAGAUGUGUAAAAAGUAAAACUACUUAACCAUUGUUCACCUGUACUUGGUUGUGUUUCGCCAGGUGAGGGGAAGUUCCUAAUGAUGAACUCAAUGAAAUCCCUUUAACCUGGCAAUUUAGGUUGUCAGAAGGAACCUCCUUCAGCUGUUGAACACAACCAACUACUUCGGCUUUGUACUUUUACACAUCAGCCCAAACAUACUAAAAAUCUGCAAUUGUGAUUCCCUGGAGAGAAAAAACAAAACAAUAAAAAAAUAGAAAAAUGCAACGUAAAAAAAUGA